rnacentral:lncRNA from 1 species
GUGCCUCAGGCCUUGGGAGAGGGUAGAUUUUAUCACAGCUCAGCCUUCUGGGGCUGUAGAGGUGGAGUUUCAGGAAUUUCAAGAAGUGAGCAAGCCCUUUUCGCAGAAAGGUCUGCUGGGCCAUGGGGGCACCCUACUCCUACCCUGUCUCCUCAUUCUUCUCUCAUUCUUGCAUGCCAAUAUUGUACUGGCUUUGAACUUGUGUGCCCAUAAAUACCUUCAAUAGGCAGAAAGCCCUCUAUCAAGAAGGCUUUGAGCUCUGCCUUCCAAGUAGUUAUGAAGUCCAACCACAGGGCAUCAGAGGCUCAGGACGACCCUUGUGGAUUUUGAAGGCUUCUAUUCAAUGAAUGAAUCCCUUUUGCAGUCUCUUCUCUAAGUGGUGCUGGCCUCUGCCUUUAACCUACUGAUGAUGGAAAACUCAGUAUCUUUGGAGGAAGUCAGGGUUUUUAUGUUUAUUGGUCCCCAGAACAUGGAGACAAAACUAUCAGCUACACCUGUCCAGGGAUAUUCAAGUUGCAGUUUUAUUCUCCAUUAGGUGUGGGGGUCACAUUGAGAGAAGCUCAGAAGAAGCCCAUCUUGAAGCCAGUUCUCUGAAGGAAUGGGAAGCAGGUUUGGGCAGGAGCAUUAGGAGCACAGUGGUGAGCAGAGGGUCACAAGUACACCUUACCAGCACCCUGAUAUGCAUGGAGGAAAGCUAAUCACACUCUGUACCUUACCUUCUACUCUGUCUUGUGUAUACCCAACCUUAGUCUUCAGAACUGCCCUGGAAGCUGGGUCUGAUCAUCUGCAUUUCACAGCUGGAAAAAUGGAUACUCAGGGAGCUGGGAAGCUCCCCUUAGGUUCCAGACACCUGGCCCACUUUGUGUCUAGAUGUGGGCUUGCCACGGAAGGAUGCUUCACCAGAAGUGGCUUCUGCCACUUUGGUCUUGAGUGAUACAAUGCUCAGCUACCACCAUUUACAGCCUUGACGCAAUAACAGCCCAGGAGCAGAGAGACCAGCUAGUACCCAGAUCUUGAUUUCUAAAUGCUGUUACCCACCAGGAGGAACUAAAAUUUUCUGCAGAAAUGGCUGACUCCAGAUCCAUGAAAAUGAAGCUCCAUGUCAAGCCUGGGAUGUCUUAUGGUCCCAAGAAGGAAGGAUAUGCUUAAAAACUACUGAGGUCACAUGGAAAGGACACGGAAGCUGACUGAGGGAUCUGCCUCACUAAGUUUUGGGACUACUGAGCAUCAAAAAGAAUGACUGUAAGGGGGCCGAGCUUGGUGGCUCAUGCCUGUAAUUCCAGCACUUUGGGAGGUCAAGAUGGGCGGAUCACGAGGUCAAGAGAUCGAGACCAUCCUGGCCAACAUGGUGAAACCCCGUCUCUACUAAAAAUGCAAAACUUGGCCGGACAUGGUGGUGGGCCCUGUGGUCCCAGCUACUUGGGGAGGCUGAGGCAGGAGAAUCACUUGAACCUGUGAGAGGGAGUUUGCAGUGAGCUGAUAUAGCGCCACUGCACUCCAGCCUGGUGACAGAGUGAGACUCCAUCUCAAAACAAAACAAAACAAAACAAGAAUGACUAUAGUUAAUUAAAAUGCA